rnacentral:rRNA from 1 species
UGGGGAAUAUUGCGCAAUGGGCGGAAGCCUGACGCAGCGACGCCGCGUGGGGGAUGACGGCCUUCGGGUUGUAAACCUCUUUCGCCAGGGACGAAGCGUGAGUGACGGUACCUGGAUAAGAAGCACCGGCCAACUACGUGCCAGCAGCCGCGGUAACACGUAGGGUGCGAGCGUUGUCCGGAAUUAUUGGGCGUAAAGAGCUCGUAGGCGGUCUGUCGCGUCGGUCGUGAAAACUUGGGGCUUAACCCUGAGCUUGCGGUCGAUACGGGCAUGACUGGAGUUCGGCAGGGGAGACUGGAAUUCCUGGUGUAGCGGUGAAAUGCGCAGAUAUCAGGAGGAACACCGGUGGCGAAGGCGGGUCUCUGGGCCGAUACUGACGCUGAGGAGCGAAAGCGUGGGGAGCGAACAGGAUUAGAUACCCUGGUAGUCCACGCCGUAAACGGUGGGCGCUAGGUGUGGGGGCCCAUUCCACGGUCUCUGUGCCGCAGCUAACGCAUUAAGCGCCCCGCCUGGGGAGUACGGCCGCAAGGCUAAAAC